rnacentral:tRNA from 1 species
GUGGGUGUAGCCUAAAGGUCAAGGCACCUGGUUGUGGCCCAGGAGAUUGUGGGUUCGAGUCCCACCACUCACCCCA